rnacentral:rRNA from 1 species
CGCCUCUUGCUUCAGUGAAUAAGAGGUCACGCCUGCCCUGUGACUAUAUGUUUAACGGCCGCGGUAUUUUGACCGUGCAAAGGUAGCGCAAUCACUUGUCCUUUAAAUGUGGACCUGUAUGAAUGGCAUAACGAGGGCUUAGCUGUCUCCUUUCUCAAGUCAAUGAACUUGAUCUCCCCGUGCAGAAGCGGGGAUAAAACCAUAAGACGAGAAGACCCUAUGGAGCUUUAGACAAAAAACAGCCCCUGUCAAUAAACCCUAAAUAAAGGAAAUAAACCUAGUGAACCUGUUUUAAUGUCUUUGGUUGGGGCGACCGCGGGGUAACAAAAAACCCCCAUGUGGAAUGAAAACACCCUUUUUAAAACCAAGAGUCACCACUCUAGGAUACAGAACAUCUGACCAAUAAUGAUCCGGCUAAAGCCGAUUAACGAACCGAGUUACCCUAGGGAUAACAGCGCAAUCCUCUUUUAGAGUCCAUAUCGACAAGAGGGUUUACGACCUCGAUGUUGGAUCAGGACAUCCUAAUGGUGCAGCCGCUAUUAAAGGUUCGUUUGUUCAACGAUUAAAGUCCU